rnacentral:rRNA from 1 species
AUUGAACGCUGGCGGCAUGCUUUACACAUGCAAGUCGAACGGUAACAGGGUGCUUGCACCGCUGACGAGUGGCGAACGGGUGAGUAAUGCGUCGGAACGUGCCGAGUAGUGGGGGAUAACGCAGCGAAAGUUGUGCUAAUACCGCAUACGUACUGAGGUAGAAAGUGGGGGACCUUCGGGCCUCACGCUAUUCGAGCGGCCGACGUCUGAUUGGAUAGUAGGUGAGGUAAAGGCUCACCUAGGCGACGAUCAGUAGCGGGGCUGAGAGGAUGGUCCGCCACACUGGGACUGAGACACGGCCCAGACUCCUACGGGAGGCAGCAGUGGGGAAUGUUGGACAAUGGGCGAAAGCCUGAUCCAGCCAUGCCGCGUGUCUGAAGAAGGCCUUCGGGUUGUAAAGGACUUUUGUCAGGGAGGAAAUCCCUAGUGCUAAUAACACUGGGGGAUGACAGUACCUGAAGAAUAAGCACCGGCUAACUACGUGCCAGCCGCCGCGGUAA